AUUAAAGGAAGCUUUCUCUUUGAGGGGAAUGUUGUCUGGCUCGAGGCCAUCUUUUCUGAUCCAUUACCCUGAUCAUUUCUCUUUUCUUUUCUAUUCAUUUAUAUCAGAUUUUAAAAGAUCAACAACCCGUUUCUCAAUUUAUAUUGUAAAUUAAGACUCCAUGAGAGAGAUCGAUCUCGGACCAGGCUUCAUUCCCCUCAAUCACAGCUUCCAACCCCAUCU
rnacentral:pre_miRNA from 1 species